rnacentral:lncRNA from 1 species
GUGAAUUCAAAUGGGCGCAGAGAUUUAAGGUGGUGCAGGGAUUCAAAUUCAAAUGGUGGUUUGAUCUUAAUUGAACCAACCUAAUCAAAAUAAGUUAAGCACAAUUAGACUAAAUUAAAUCCAACUUAAUUAGGCUUAAUUAGGCUCAAUAAAAUCCUAAUCAAAUUAGAAAUUGACUAAGCCCAACCCCGGAUCAAAUCAGGGACCAAACCAUCUCGACGAUUAGGUCAACUCUUAACCUAAUCGGGUAAAACCCAACUGAAUCCAAUUCAAUUGGACUUGAUCCAAAAAUAAUUACUCAAUCAAAUUGAGUUAAUUAAUGAUCAAAUCACUAAUAAAACCUUUCAUAAUUAUUGAGUCCAAAUCUGAUGGGCAAUCGGGUAUCAAAGUCCAUCAAUAUGAAACCUUGAUCAAAGAGUUCAAAUUUCAAAUUCAAAAUUUGAAAUUCAAAAUUUUGACCCCGGUACCCAAAAUGUGUGGAACUCAUGAUCAGAGAAUCCUAAUUCUCAAUCAUAGAGUCCCAGACACAUAAGACUCAUAAUCAACCAUCAGAUCAGAAAGGAACCUCUAAUGUGUGUGACCCCGCAGGUUCGAACCUAAGCCGGUAGCACAGGAACCAAUUCCUGUACUAAUCGAAGUGACCAUCUAGCAAUGGUACCCGAUGACUGGAU